rnacentral:rRNA from 1 species
GAGCACGUAGGUGGGUUUGUAAGUCAGAUGUGAAAGCCUCCUGUUCAACGGGAGAAUUGCAUCUGAAACUACGAAUCUUGAGUGUAGGAGGGGAGAAUGGAACUUCUGGUGGAGCGGUGAAAUGCGUAGAUAUCAGAAGGAACGCCGGCGGCGAAAGCGAUUCUCUGGCCUAUUACUGACACUCAGUGUGCGAAAGCUAGGGGAGCAAACGGGAUUAGAUACCCCGGUAGUCCUAGCCGUAAACGAUGGGCACUAAGUAGAGGGAAUUACCGAUAUUCUCUCUGCCGUAGCUAACGCAUUAAGUGCCCCGCCUGGGGAGUACGGCCGCAAGGCUAAAACUCAAAAGAAUUGACGGGGGCUCGCACAAGCGGUGGAGCAUGUGGCUUAAUUCGAUGCAACGCGAAAAACCUUACCGGGGCUUGACAUGGUAGAAGUAGGAACCCGAAAGGGUAACGAACGGUAUCCAGUCCGUAGCUAUCACAGGUGUUGCAUGGCUGUCGUCAGCUCGUGUCGUGAGACGUUGGGUUAAGUCCCCUAACGAGCGAAACCCUUGUUUUUAGUUGCCAGCGGGUUAUGCCGGGCACUCUAGAAAGACUGCCGUCGUCAAGACGGAGGAAGGUGGGGAUGACGUCAAGUCAUCAUGGCCCUUAUGCCCCGGGCUGCACACGUGCUACAAUGGUCGGUACAAACGGAAGCGAAGCCGAGAGGUGAAGCGAAUCC